AGUAUUUAUUUUCAUAAUGGUGGUCUCGAUCACGAUUUGUCGGAUUUGCCUAUCAACUCCAGCGUGGUUUAUUCUCGGACGAUCCGUCGGAACGGAGGACAUAAACCAUCAAAUCGCAUCUGACAUCAAACUGGAAGUGAUUUGUCCACUGAAAGGAACUAGAAUGAAAGGCGACAAAAUAGCGAAUAAUAACUUGAUGAACGCGAUCCAAGCGACGCCUAAUAGAUGAAGAGAUUCCAAUCCAAUUCAAUUCAAUUUUCUGCAAUUCUUCAGCAUCGCCGGGAUGAUUUUGACAUUUAACACCACUGACGGUGCCAUCUGCAUCGCCCUGCUUUCAAUAAAGCGAUAUUGCUUCGGAGUUCGGACCUAGAUUGUAUUUGUGAAAACGUGUGAACAGCUCACGACAUUAAAAGGGUCCUCUAUAUUUUGGAAGGAAACAUCCGCUGGCAGCACGCGAAACUCGGU
rnacentral:lncRNA from 1 species